GACGGAGGGGGCUAGCGUUGUUCGGAAUGACUGGGCGUAAAGGGCGCGUAGGCGGUUUUUUAAGUGAGGCGUGAAAGCCCUGGGCUUAACCCAGGAGGUGCGUUUCAUACUGGAAGACUUGAGUACGAGAGAGGAAAGCGGAAUUCCUAGUGUAGAGGUGAAAUUCGUAGAUAUUAGGAAGAACACCAGUGGCGAAGGCGGCUUUCUGGCUCGUAACUGACGCUGAGGCGCGAAAGCGUGGGGAGCAAACAGG
rnacentral:rRNA from 2 species